GUUGCCCAGAGAUGGGUGCCUGGUGUUUGUCCUAAUCUUUACAGCUCCCCAUGAAACUGGAUCUCAGGUGGCAGUGAGGAAGAGGUGGUCAGCAGUGUGACAAGGACAGUAGAGUAGAGAAGUAGUGGCACUCGAUGGAAUGAGAGAGAGGAAAAGGUGUGAAAAAGCUGGCAUCAAUCACAGCUUCAGAGAGAUCAAAGCAAUCUGUUGUAAUGUGACCAGAGCAAAACCUUCUGAAAUGGACUUCUGAACACUCUCAGCUUUAAUUUUUGUUGGUAAAUAAGAAGAAAGGCAAGACUCUUCAUGCUUGCUGUUGGGGUGGGGGUGGAGGGGUUGAGAAAUAGGUACAAUAAGUAUUGAACUAUGUUUUGCCAGUUGUCCAGAUGCUGAUGCCAUUCUAGUGCAGGACUGCUUCAUUUAUGUCUCCAAAAGGUCUUAGUUUUCUUUUGAUGCUAUAAUUGAAGAAAAAGGAAAAGAGAGGGGAGGGAAAGCAGGGAAAAAACCCGACCACAGACACAAAGAAAAGGAGAGAGGUGGGAUCUGCACUGCCUGUUACUGCAGGGUCUCUUCAAAAUGCAGAAGGAAGCUUUGCAUAUGAGGAUUUCUGCAUUUCCCUACAGAGGAGGUCUUCUGCAGCGAUGAGCAACAUCCCUUCCUGCCAGCAUUCCUGAUCUGGGCUUGUGGGCAAAGGGCCAAAGCACACCAGAAUGUGGAGGAAGGGAGAACUGAAAGCUGGGUCUGAGUAUGAUCUCUCCUGCCAAGCUCAUUGAGCAUGUUAAGAAGAGAACAGCAUUUCAGGGCUGUGGGAGUCUUUCUGUGGAGGUGUCAAUACUACUUCAAGCAAGGCCCCCACAGGCUGAUGGCAAACUGGAGAGGGAACAAGAAUAAAGGCAUGGAGGUGUCACAGUUAUACUGGAGGCACUUAAUUACCUAGCAAUAUCAAAAGGAGGGAAUUGUGUUCAGAAGGCAGUAGCUGUGGCAAAGGAAUUUUGUAACAAAGCAAUUUCUGACUGGGAGGGGAAGAUGAAAAUACCUUCCUGUGGAUUUUAGUGGGAAGAUUCUGUGAGCUGCUCUUGGUAGUGAUUGCAGUGUUUCUGGCUCAUGCAGGUUGAGAACAAUGCACGUUGAGUCAUUGCAAAGCUGUACUUCUCAUGAGGAGCCUUGAUUAUAUAGCAGCUGACUCAGUUUCUAUGCUAUAAAUUGAUUACAGCUUAAAAGACUCAUAAAAAGUCAUGGGAUUUCUUAGGGUUUUUUUAUAAGGAUAUUCUCAAAUGAGUAUCACAUUUUUAAUAUAGUCAGUUGUUGACUAAUAUAUUGGUUUUAGAUGUGUAACUGCUCAUAGUUGUCCUAGAACUAUAUUCAGUUUAGGUAAUGAGGCUUGGAGACAGUGUUGCUUCAGAGGGAAAGGGGAAAGGAGUUCAUACCCUUCUGACACUUUGGUGCCAGUGAAUGUAAAUGGAUGGAAAGUGUGUAUGAGUUUGCUAAUGAUUCAUCUGCUCUUUUUUUGACCUGGCAAAAUUGCCAACUGAAACUGAAACCAUCUAGAAUAAGGUGAAAACAUUAAUUCCUUGUUUACUGUCAGUUAUGGGGGCCUGUAAUGUCCUUAUUGAAACAGUAUCAGUAAAAACAGCCUACAUUUGCUUAUGAGCAGAC